CUGGGUUCUCCUACCAGUCCCUGAGAAGUGGUACUGGACUGAUGAAGUGGCAUCUGGAGAGCUGGUCCAGUGAGAUGUUGAUACCCCAGAAGGGGAAAACUACAGUAACCUGGCCAGACAGCCAAGCCAGGGAGCAGCCUGAGUUAUGAAGAGGGACUGGAAGUAAUCUGACUCCAGAAAGAGAGGAUACACCAUGGGGCACAAAAUGAAGGAUAGACUGGACAGAGAGAAUCACAUGCUCUAUAGAUUCGUUUCCCCGAAGCAUAUUGGUUGGAGGGUGUGAGAGAGCUACCCAUAUGCAUCUUCUGGAGCUGUCAUUCCAUCCCUUUCCACCUGCAUGAAAAUCAAACCAGGGACGGAAAGAAUCUCUGCAAGGGAUAAAACUGAAAUCUCUAUAGAAGAAAGUAACGUCUGAUUCAACUCACAGCAAAUUGUCCUUGUUCUGAAACAAGAACUCGAACAAAGUCCCCCAUGAAAUCUAUGCUUGCACUGUAUUAUGUCACAGGAAGAAGGGCCUCUUCAUACCUGUAGCGUUUUUUAAAGUAAUCAUAUUUAGUAAACAUGACAUUCUAGACUGGUUAUUCAGGGGAACUAAGUCCUCCAUUUAUCCACAGAUCAGGUACAGCAAACAAAAGCAGUGUAAGAUUUCUUGUUGCCCCACUAAUAUAAUCCAGCUAUAAGCUUGGAGGAACAAGUAGUUUGGGCUUCAAAACCAUUUAAUUCAUGGCAUCUGUUCUGAGAUUCCCAACCAAAAAAUGGCUAUCGUAAAUCAUGGUGCUAGUAGAUGCCUGUCUGCUAAGAACUAAAUUGAAACUACCAGUUCUCUUCAACCCUAUUUAAGAUUUGUGCAAUGCUUUCCAUUCAGCUAACUACUGCCCCCGUGGCAGAAUGUGCUUACGUAUUUCCAAGAUUUUCAGUGCUGACUACAGCACAACUACAAAAAUAAAUCUUGCAUCAAGGGGAGUGCCUUGUUCAUCCCUUUUUCAUUGCUUUAAAUUACCCCAGAAUGCACCUUGGAAGCCCUACUGAUAAAUUAUAGCCAUCAUGCCUCCAGCCAAAGAGGGAUAAACAGCAUUUCAUUCAUAGUAGGUUUGUGCCACUU